rnacentral:lncRNA from 1 species
UUGUGUUGGUAGUUCGAGGCCUCAUAAGUUAGGUCCUCUAGAUAAGUGGACACAUUCUAUUAAUUCUAGCGUGACCUCUCCAGCAGCACUUCAUCAACAGAAGAUACACCAAGCACUUUGAAAUGAGAAGACAUUUCAAGUCCAACAAUAUAUUACAAAAUGGGUGUAUAUACAUGGUUAGUGUUUAGCUAUACCCUUCACUUUUUCGGGUUUUCCUUAGCUACUUGAGUCCAGUUUUUCUAAUUUAGUGACUCAAACCUUUAUUAUAGCUAUUCCAUUCAAUGCCAUUGACAGUGAAAAGUUCAAGCAAAUGUGUGAGGCCAUCGGUUAAUUUGGUCAUCGAUUGAAGUCUCCAUCUCCAUAUGAUCUUCGAGAGUCUUUGUUGAAAUCUGAAUAUGCAAGAACGAAGAGCGAGUUAAGUGAUCGUGAAAAGGAGAAAGAAAAGAAUGUUGUCCUCUUAUGACUGAUGCUUGGACAAACAUGAAGAGGGGAAGCAUAAUGAACAUAAUCACACCGUGCUGAGGGAACUAGCUUCAUAAAAUCUAAGGAUACAUCAAGCCUUUCUCAUAUAGGUGAAUUUAUUUUUGACCUGGUUGACCAAACAAUUGAGAAAGUUAGAGAUGAGUAUGUGGUGCAAAUUGUGACAGACAAUGCUUCCAACAAUAUGACAGCAACGACUCUCUUAGGAAAAAAAAGGCCACACAUAUUUUAGAGGUUUUGUGCAACUCACGCUGUCAAAUUUAAUAUUCCAAAGAAUUGGUAGCAUUCCAAAGUUCAAAAUAGUUAUUGAUGAGGCUAAGGCUUUCACCAUCUUCAUACAUAGUCACCACAGAACUUUCGAUUUGAUGAGGUCUUUCACUAAGAGAGAGAGAUCAUUCGACCAAGUGUGACUCAAUUUGCUUCUCAAUUUUUUACUUUACAAAGUUUGAUGGAGAAGAAAGAUGUAUAAAGGAAGAUGGUGGUGGAUUCGAAGUGAAAUGCUAUGAAGGAGACAAGUAUAAAGAAAGGUUAGGAUGCUUAUGCCACAAUUCUUAGAAUGGUGUUUUGGAAUGGUGUGGAGAUUUACUUGAAAGUUUUUGAGUCGUUGGUGAAAUUGCUUCGAUUGGUCGAUGGAAAUGUGAAACCUUCGAUGGAUUUUGUGUAUGGGGAAUUUUUGAAGGCAAAGAAAGAGUUUAGUAGCGCCUUUAUGACUUAUCUAAUAUUUUUAUGGUUUUAUCUAAUUAUCUUAUGUGUGUUUUCUUUCAAUAUGAGAAUUUGAAUAUUAAUUAUCUUGAUCUUUAUCAGACUAUAACUCUAUGAACUUUGCAAUUUUAUUUUUGAUUUUGUAUAUUCCACUUAAAAUUUAUUACGUGUUUUAAAAACGCCUAAUCGGCCAAAAUGUGAGGCAGGAUCUCACCGCCUUACGCCUUCCACAACCUUACUUAUUUACCGGACUUGCUUCAUCAAGUGAGACUUUGACUACGCGAUCUAAGGUUGACUCCGACUCUUUCUUCUCGCCUUGUAGUGGUGGUGGUUGUAAACUCAGGUUAUCAACUAACUCAGUAAGUUUCUGCUCAGGCAUCCUACACAAAUGAUAGUAACUUGGUAAAAGAGGUGUUCUUUUCCGAAAUCAAUACUGCAUUGUAUUAAUGAAUCAAAGGACAUAACGGGAUUUGUUCGAAAAAAAGGAUAACGUGUUCAUGUACUCAACACUCCAAUCAAGAGGAGUCUCUCCCAAGAUGGACGACACAAAAAACUGCGAUCCACAAGCUUGCGAUCAUAUUUUGACAUCUCCUAACCCACUCAAUCCCAUAUUCAGCUUAAACAAUUCGGAGCUUAUUGAUAUUGACAGCCUCAUAUUCAACUUAAACAACACAAACUUUGGACCAUAAUCCCACUCUCUGGUCAUAACUAGUUGCUGCCAUGGAAAAAAGAAUUAUACAAGAUUCAAACUUUGAUGAUUCCAUUUUUCUUUUCUCUCAGCCAAUCCACUAAAUGCGCUAUCUACAACGCUAUCCAGUUUACCAUCAUUCCAACUCCAAGAUUCCAAAAAAUCAAAUUCACAGCAAUUAGGCAAAACCUAGAAAUGGGGAUUCAACCAUUUCAAAUUAGAGCCACCAAAUCAUUACCUGCGAAAAAUUACAAAGAACAGGGACGGUGAGGUCAAGCAGCUUCUGUCAAUGGCGAAUGACUGAGCAGUGAGGAACUCAGUUGGCGGCGCUUGAUUGCGUCUUUGAGAAGAGAGGCGUUCUUAGAUCGGUCUCGACGUCGUUUAUGUGAUGGAUCGAUGCUGUUGAUUGAGAAAAUGGCC